AUUGAACGCUGGCGGCAUGCUUUACACAUGCAAGUCGAACGGCAGCGCGGGCUUCGGCCUGGCGGCGAGUGGCGAACGGGUGAGUAAUACAUCGGAACGUGCCCAGUAGUGGGGGAUAGCUCGGCGAAAGCCGGAUUAAUACCGCAUACGACCUGAGGGUGAAAGCGGGGGAUCUUCGGACCUCGCGCUAUUGGAGCGGCCGAUGGCAGAUUAGCUAGUUGGUGGGGUAAAGGCCUACCAAGGCGACGAUCUGUAGCUGGUCUGAGAGGACGACCAGCCACACUGGGACUGAGACACGGCCCAGACUCCUACGGGAGGCAGCAGUGGGGAAUUUUGGACAAUGGGCGAAAGCCUGAUCCAGCAAUGCCGCGUGUGUGAUGAAGGCCUUCGGGUUGUAAAGCACUUUUGGCGGGAACGAAAAGGACUGUGCCAAUACCACGGUUCGAUGACGGUACUCGCAGAAUAAGCACCGGCUAACUACGUG
rnacentral:rRNA from 1 species